UGAAACACUGCCAGCAGCAAGCUUCUGUUUCAAGUUUAACGGUUGGUUUCUAUAAUUGUCGGUGAGAGGAAACACACGUAGUACAUUUUUCUUCUGUGUUCACAUAAGAUCAGGUUCAUUGACUUCCUGGUCCUCUGUGUUUCCCGCUCUCCUGAUUACCCCAAUGUGUUGCACCUGUGUGUCGUUAACUCACUCUCCCAGAGUGUACUUAAGCUCACUGUCCCCAUGUGCCAGUUUGUCUUUUACCCUUGUGUCAGUGUCCCUGCAUUGUUUUCCUCUUGUUUGCCCCAGAGUUUUGACCUGCUUUUUAUUUUGCACUUUGCCUUUUGCUUUGUGAUUUGGAUACCUUUGCUUGAACUGUGUAUCUGCUAACCUUUGACCUGAUUAAACACAUUUGAAUGUUA